rnacentral:rRNA from 1 species
AGUGAACGCUGGCGGUAGGCCUAACACAUGCGAGUCGAACGGCAGCACAGUAAGAGCUUGCUCUUACGGGUGGCGAGUGGCGGACGGGUGAGGAAUACAUCGGAAUCUACUUUUUCGUGGGGGAUAACGUAGGGAAACUUACGCUAAUACCGCAUACGACCUACGGGUGAAAGCAGGGGAUCUUCGGACCUUGCGCGAUCGAAUGAGCCGAUGUCGGAUUAGCUAGUUGGCGGGGUAAAGGCCCACCAAGGCGACGAUCCGUAGCUGGUCUGGGAGGAUGAUCAGCCACACUGGAACUGAGACACGGUCCAGACUCCUACGGGAGGCAGCAGUGGGGAAUAUUGGACAAUGGGCGCAAGCCUGAUCCAGCCAUACCGCGUGGGUGAAGAAGGCCUUCGGGUUGUAAAGCCCUUUUGUUGGGAAAGAAAAGCAGCAGGUUAAUACCCCGCUGUUCUGACGGUACCCAAAGAAUAAGCACCGGCUAACUUCGUG